GCCGCGAUGGCGCAGUGGUGCGCAUCCUCUGAACUUCGCCAAUAGGGUAUCAUUUCUGAGGACCCCGGGGUUCGACUCCCCAUCGUGGCA